rnacentral:lncRNA from 10 species
CUCCCGCCUCCGCCUCCUCCCGCCUCCGCCUCCUCCUCCGCCUCCUCCUCCUCCUCCUCCUCCUCCGCCUCCUCCUCCUCCUCCUCCGCUUCUGGCUUCUCCUCCUUCUUCUCAGGCUCAUCACAACAACUUUUACACCUCCUCCUCCUCCUUUUCUUCUUCUUCUUCUUCUUUUUUUUUUUUUAUGGCGUCUCGCCCAGCCUGGAGUGCAGAGGCAGUCUUGGCUCACUGCAACCUCCACCUCCGGGGUUCAACUGAUUUUCCCGCCUCAGCCUGCUGAGUAGCUGGGAUUACAGGCACCCUCAUCAAGUCCGGCUAAUUUUUGUAUUUUUAGUAGAGACAGGGUUUCACCAUGUUGGCUAGGCUGGUCUUGACCUCCUGACCUCGGGUGAUCCUCCUGCCUCGGCCUCCCAAAAUGCUGGGAUUACAGGCGUGAGCCACCACGCACGGCUUCUGUUGUUCGUUGAAAUCAUCAUUUUUCUAAUGUCCUCAUUCUCUGCUGGCUAGUUUAAGGGCUGAUUCAAAAAAUAAAUUUUCACACUGUGAAAUACGCAAGAUGAAGAGAACAUUUAUAAAAUAUCCAUACUGUGCAUCUCUGAAUAAUCUUUUCUUCACAUCAGCGGCAGUACAAAUUAGGUGGAGUUUUAAAAGAUACUUCAGCAACUUACAGAUUACAGCAUGUUAUGUAUCUUCAAGCAGUGAGAGGAUAUUACGUUGCAGAAUUUGGUCAGAAUAUGAAGUUUGGAAGACCCUAUAUUCCUGCAGAUCCUUGGAUUGAGGUUAAUUCGAGAGCAAGCCGUGAGUGAGAAAUCUGCCAUCAAAACCAAGUCACUGGCCCUACCACAUUUGCUACAACUCUGAUAUUCCACAUUUUACAAAGACAGAAUUUGGCUCUUGUUGUCCAGGCUGGAGUGCAAUAGCAUGAUCUCAGCACACUGCAAACCCCGCCUCCCAGGUUCAAGCGAUUCUCCUGCCUCAGCCUCCCGAGUAGCUGGGAUUACAGGUGUGUGCCACCACACCCAGCUAAUUAUUUUUUGUAUUUUUAGUAGAGAUGGGGUUUCACCAUGCUGGUCAGGCUGGUCUCAAACUGACCUCAGGUGAUCCACCUGCCUUUGCCUCCCAAAAUGCUGGGAUUACAGCCAUGAACCACCACAACCGGCCACUCACUGAACUUCGACUCUGUUCCAGGAACUACAAUAUACUUAAUGGAGUUUACCAAGAUUAGUUUUGCUGUAUUCAUCACUUUCAAAUACUUUAUUCUAUAGACUGAGCGAGACUGAAUCCUUGCUGUGGAAUUACCAAGUUCUGUUAAUGGACAAUUAUUUAACCCUGAAGAAAACAAAAAAAUUGAAAAUAAAAUGUCUGACA